rnacentral:rRNA from 1 species
CGUAGGAGGCAAGCGUUAUCCGGAGUAACUGGGCGUAAAGGGCGAGUAGGUGGUUUAAUAAGUUGGUUAUGAAAGCUCCUGGCUAAACUGGGAGAGGCUGACCAAGACUGUUAGACUUGAGUGGAGAAGAGGUAACGGAAUUCCGCGUGUAGUGGUGAAAUGCGUAGAGAUGCGGAAGAACACCAGUGGCGAAGGCGGUUUACUGGUCUCCAACUGACACUGAACCGCGAAAGCAUGGGUAGCGAACGGGAUUAGAAACCCCGGUAGUCCAUGCCGUAAACGAUGCACACUAAACGUUCGGCAUCCGCGAGGGUGCUGAGUGUUGAAGCCAACGCGAUAAGUGUGCCGCCUGGGGAGUACGGUCGCAAGGCUA